rnacentral:rRNA from 1 species
CCUACGAGUGGCAGCAGUGGGGAAUCUUGCACAAUGGGGGAAACCCUGAUGCAGCGACGCCGCGUGAGUGAAGAAGUAAUUCGUUACGUAAAGCUCUAUCAGCAGGGAAGAAAUACUGACCUUACGGUCAGCAGACGGUACCUGAGUAAGAAGCCCCGGCUAACUACGUGGCAGCAGCCGCGGUAACACGUAGGGGGCAAGCGUUCUCCGGAUUUACUGGGGGUAAAGGGAGCGUAAACGGUGCGCCAAGUUUGGAGUGAAAUGCCGCAGGUUAAUUGAGGAACUGCUUUGGAAACUGGCGAACUAGAGUGCGGGAGGGGUAAGCGGAAUUCCUAGUGUAGCGGUGAAAUGCGUAGAUAUUAGGAGGAACACCGGUGGCGAAGGCGGCUUACUGGACCGUAACUGACGUUGAGGCUCGAAAGCGUGGGGAGCAAACAGGAUUAGAUACCCGAGUAGUC